UACAGAGGGGCAAGCGUUGUUCGGAAUUACUGGGCGUAAAGGGCGCGUAGGCGGCCCACUAAGUCGAACGUGAAAUCCCCGGGCUCAACCCGGGAACUGCGUCCGAUACUGGUGGGCUUGAAUCCGGGAGAGGGAUGCGGAAUUCCAGGUGUAGCGGUGAAAUGCGUAGAUAUCUGGAGGAACACCGGUGGCGAAGGCGGCGAUCC
rnacentral:rRNA from 1 species